AAGUAUCUUGCUACUUUUGCCGGCGAGCGGCGGACGGGUGAGUAAUGCCUGGGGAUCUGCCCAGUCGAGGGGGAUAACUACUGGAAACGGUAGCUAAUACCGCAUACGCCCUACGGGGGAAAGCAGGGGACCUUCGGGCCUUGCGCGAUUGGAUGAACCCAGGUGGGAUUAGCUAGUUGGUGAGGUAAUGGCUCACCAAGGCGACGAUCCCUAGCUGGUCUGAGAGGAUGAUCAGCCACACUGGAACUGAGACACGGUCCAGACUCCUACGGGAGGCAGCAGUGGGGAAUAUUGCACAAUGGGGGAAACCCUGAUGCAGCCAUGCCGCGUGUGUGAAGAAGGCCUUCGGGUUGUAAAGCACUUUCAGCGAGGAGGAAAGGUUGGUAGCUAAUAACUGCCAAGC
rnacentral:rRNA from 1 species